CAUUAAAUUAAUAUAUCUAACUAAGGGAAAAAAAGAACAACGAGAGAAAAACCACUCACUCUGGACGCUCACACACACUCACACACACUCACUCCCAGCAUGCACCGAGAGAGAGAGAGAGAGAGAGAGAAGAGAGAGAGAGGGAGAGGGAGAGGGAGAGAGAGAGAGAGAGAGAGAGAGAGAGAGAGAGAGAGAGAGAGAGAGAGAGAGAUUUUUGAUUUUUGAAAAACCUUUAUUUUCUUAUAAAAAACAAACAAAAAUGUUGCCUGAUGACAUUAAGGUCCAAUCAACACACAGAAUGACUGUGAAGACACAAUCUCCUUUCAGCCAGUCCACACCAGGCUCCUCUGCAGCAUCGACGCACACAGAGGCCGCCGCCGAACUGGUAGUUCAUCUGGUCACUGGCUCCUUACCUCUGCCGGUACUCCACUCAGUCCCCAGCAGCCCUCUCGUUGCCAUUAUUGAUCCUCUGGACGAUCUUUCGCAGCCGUAAGAGCUCCUGCUGCGUGUAUUGGGAACUACCUCAUUUGCUUGCACCCUCCCCAGCGGUACGACCGAAUUUCUCCAUAUCCGGAAAGUAGUCCGCUUCAUGUUCUUGGUGGUCUUCAGGAAAACUUUCACCCUCUCCACGCUGUACCAAAUGGUGGCAAUCCCGCCAGAGGAGACGCUGUCCGCAGAAGACUCCACUCCUGCUGCUCCCCCUUCCUCUGUCCCUCUGUUCCCUGACCCCUUCUUGGCCUGAGAACCCCGAACAACAAGACUCCCCCUGACAAAAUGGAUGUACUGUUGGAAUUUCAUUAUACCGUUUCAUAUUGCAUCUAUUUUUUUUUCUUCCUGUAGUGUUUUUAUUUUAUGUUUUUCCCCGCCAACUCCUUCAGAGAAGAGAAGACAAAAUGACUGUGUAACAGUAGGGGGUAGAAAAUCCCUACCGAGUGUAAAAGGCUUCUCUCAACUGGAGCAGAUAGAAGAACGCAUGUGGAGCAUGUGUAUGACGUAGGAGGAGAGUCAAAGCUGUUCUCUGUCUUUGUGGUUGACUUGGUGCUGUUCCGCCUGUAGGAGGUCAGUGUUUGAACCGCACAGCAUUCAGUCAGGGGACGAGACAUCCUUACACCGCAGGCCUACCUUUGUGAGUGUUUCUUUGAGAGUGUGUGUGAGGCUGCUCCAAUCUUUUCUUCUUCAACAUCCAAAACAGCGGUCAAACUCGCAUUAGCAAAGUGCGGUACGCCCCAUCCCUCUGUUACUGUUGCUGUUGACCUUUUCACAGUCUAUGUCAUCACAAGUGUGACAAGUGAGCAGGCUUAAAACCUUAAAUUGUUGACUGUUACCUCAAUCAAAAUGUCUUAUUAAAAGGGGGCAAGGGCCUCUGGUGCGGGCCAGGGACGCAGCAAGGCCCCCUCUGGUGACCUGGACCUCUUCGUCUUUGUUGGUUUGGUAGUCAAAAUCAAUAUUUCAUCAGCAGACACAAGUUUAAUAAAAAUGGUUUCAGAGUAGCCGGGUUCUAGAUUUUGUUACGGUGUAGAUCUAAAUAUAUAACAUUUUCUUGACAGUUUCUUCUCACUCCGUUCAUUCUAUUUUUCUCCAACGUGCUCUGAGAGAGAGUGGAAGCUUUCUAGAAAGCCCCGUAAAGACUCUAUUUUCAGUUUUGUAGUGUCAUGAGGGAGAUGGUGCGUUUCAAUCCCCAUGGCUUUAGUGGGAAUAAAAAGGUUAGUGAAGUGCAUGUUUGUAUUAUAUCCCCUUUGUCUGACUGUACGUUUUAUCCUAGUCUAAAGGCACCAGUCUAAAGGCAGCAUCUGUGUGCUCACAACGCUAUUCUUGCAAUGACAAAUUGAUUGUGGACCAGAUGUUUUAAGCAUGCAAGAUUUAAUAUGUUAAAAUAUCCACCAGAAUUAAGGAAAUGUAAUUUGGUGUGAGAUAUCUCAGGUCACUACUGGGAAACCUCUACACACAGAAUGUGGUCAUGGUAGCAAAAGGUAAUGUUCUUUUCUCCAAAAACAUUGGAAAAAUAUGCAAGCAAGCUGGACUGUUGCCAAACUAUUUUUUAUCAUCCCAAGAAGCUUAAUUCAAUCAGUACAACUCUUGACAACCAUAAUGAUUAUGAUUAUACGUUUGUGAAUUAAUAGGGUUUCUUUGAUUCAAUGUGUGGCUUUCAGUAGAUAUGUAGUGCUUUUAAAGCCAAUUAUUGGUGGGAAGUUCAAAAAUCAACACCUGCGUCCAAGUGACACUACAACCCGAGCACUGUUGAGCCGUAGAUUAAUUCAUUUUAGUUAAGGAGUGGUGACAAUGAGAGUUUGUGUUGACUGAGUGGAUCGCUGUUAGUGACACUGUAAGGUCGACUAAAUGUAGCGUGUGUCCACUGUUCUUUGCUCCUCUUGAGCAGUAAAAGCGCCAACCUUCCCUUGUUGGGUUUGCAUAACUACUGUAAUUAUUAUGCUAAUUAGAUGUGAUAAUGAAUGCAGUAAAGUGCUGACACUUACCUCCCCCAUGUUGUGCUGUAUCUAUUUGUUAAACCACCUCCAUGUUCCACACCAAAAUGUUGAGUUUUUGAAAGGUUUUUCCUGCAGGAAAAACAGGAACUGGAGCAAGGUCACAAGGGUGUGUGGGUGUAUUUUAUCUCCUCUGUCCUCUUGUGUCCUGCUUUUGCCCAACAUAUCUAGAAUCUCUUGUCACCUUCUAAUGUUCAUUGCAGCACUGUUGAUGUCAAGAAUUUAACCAUAAGGAUGAUGAGGAUUAUGCAGAAGCAGGUGGUUGGAUUGAUCGCUUUGCCUUGGCUAUGCUCUGAUGUCUCUGAGUAGUCUGUCCUCUUUCAUGGUGUGGAGAGUGGAGGUGGAGAGCAGGCCCUGUGGCUCAAGUGACCCGCAGAGCCAGAUGUACAGUAUGAACGAUGCCUUCACAUGAAUUGUGCGUUGUGCACCACUCAGGCACAGAGCGGCGUGCGUGGUCUUAACGGAGAUUGCUGUGGCUCACAUGAUAAAAGAAGGAUGUAGCUGUAAAGUGUUGUCUGUAAGUCAAUGUCUUCCCAGGAUCCAUUCUUCAUAUGUAAUAUACAUCAUAAUCUAUAUGAACAGUACUGUAUUUUCAUUAUUUCGGUCUACAUUUAAUACAUGUCUGCCUGUCCCGGGCUAAGUAAAACAAAUUGACUUGACUUGUGGUGCAGCUUCGACUCUCAUCAGCUUCCAAACCACAAACACGCUUAAUUAUUCUCAAGGGAGGAAUGUUACCUUUGGGUAUGCAAUGUUUAUUUUUCACCUAAAAUAAGAAUCACUAAUGAAAUGAAUUCUUGAUUAGCCAAGGCCGAUACCCAUCAUUGAUUUAUUUAUCCAUUUACACUGGGGGGUCAACACAUAUUAUGCUAAGCCCCACAGUUAUAUUCACCAUAAACUCUUCUGUAAGGAAAGUGAACAGAAAUAUUCCAUUUCACAUUGUUCUAUUGUUAUUGGCUUCAUUGCUUAUGUCUCUUGUUUCAUUCCACUUUUCCGUCUUUGUGUUUAUAAUAUGUCACUACACUCGAGCCCCUCUCUUUGAUAAUAAAGUGUGAUUACACUGCAUGCUCCGUCAUCACAUUAGAAAGAACAAUCACCAGAAGAGUGAUGGAGCUUUCAAUGCCGCCACUGUAAGAGGAGGGGAGGAGUGUGGAUAGUGGGUGGUUGGGUGGGGAUAAGCUUGGUAGCAGAGACAAGAUAAUAGGCAUCCUUCACUCACUGGCCCAAAAACAAACACACAAACUGAAAUAGCAAUAACAAUAUCCCCAUGCCAAAUGUUAGCCUUGAGUGAAUGCGUGUUUGUGCUUUUGAAGGAAGAGAGUUGUUUGAGUGUCUCAAUAUGUGUGUUUAAUUUGACCAGUGGUGUCCAAUCUACUGCCUCCCACUCUCUCCUCUAUCUUUGUGAAACUGCUGAUGCUCAGCUGUUGCGUACAUGACUGGUUGCCAUUGGCUCGUCCGGGUAGCAUUUUCCAGGUUCAUCCUGAGGAUCACUGUGGGUUGGCGGAUAUGUCACAGAUGCCAAUAAAAAAAGACAGGGCACCUGUUCAAAGCUCCAAAGACUAAGACUGCUUUUUAGGAUGUUUUUUCUUGGGGGCAGGCACUUUUUCAGGGGAUUACCAAAGAGAGUGUGCGCCUUUCCGACCUGGUGCUGGUGCAAGCAAGCAGUCUCAGGGGAUCUGCUCAAUUCUAAUAGGUCCAGCUAAGGUAUAUAAAAGAGUUGUAAUAGAACUAUUAGCCAUGACAGCACUGUAAAAUCCCUAACACCCUAUUCUUGCAGACACACACACUCGGAAUUCAAACACUCACAGACAAUUGUAUCCAGCAUGGUCUUCAAUAAAUGAUGUUCCCAUUGAAUAAGGCUGCGCUGUUUAUGUUUCGAGGGAAUUUUUCCUCAAAAGUGGUGCCUUAUUCAACAGUACAUAAAACAUCUAUAUGUAGAAUGUUAUUUGUUGGUUCACAAAUGUCAAGAUUAGAUAUAUACUAGUUUGCAGAAAUGAAAAAACUGUCACUUUAUCUUGGCGGCUCGGUUCAGUAAUAAUAAUCAUACUCUUUUCCCAUUACAUCCCUUGUUAAAGAGAAUAAGGCAUCUAUUAUGGUGAGUUGAGGGACAGAGACUGUAUGUGAACCACAAAGUCUCCUCUCCUCUUAUCUCUGCUCCGUAAUACAAACAGCCACAUUAUUGAACAACAAAUAUUUUUGGCAAGAAAAUCCUCCCGCCGGCUGUGAGCCUUAUUGCGUUGGACGUUGUCUCUUGGCGACACACAGCUUUAAAAAAAUUGAUGUGAGAUCCAGAGCAGAGGCUGCAUCCUCGCUGUUUCUUUAAUUUUCUUCCUCAGAGCUCCUGUGCAAAAAAAAACCCAGUGAGUGUUAUUGGUGUGAUUAUUCUGUACGUAUGUAUGUAGCAGAGAACAGUUGCAAAAUCAGCUGACAGUUCUCUGUUCUAACUGAGGACCGGCCGCCCUUACGGAGAGACUGAUAGCAGCGGCUGUAUAUGAGAUUCACACUGGCCUCCAGCAACUGGCAUCAUCACUGGACGGGAUGGAAGCGACACAAAGUCCUAACAAGAGAUGAGGUUGUAAAGCUGCUUAUCAUGCAGUUGUAUCCCCAGCCACGGUGAUUGGAUGUAGGUUAUUUGUUUGGAGGGAACAUCAGUAACUUCAGGGUCAAUGCUGAAAAGAAUCCGCAACAUGGCACCACACAAAUGUCUCCCGGAUGUUUGCAUCAUUGCAUUAACUUUGCACAUAUAUAGUUGGCCAACAUGUUUUAAGACUAACAUGAUAUAUACAUUUUGCUACCAAGGGUGUUGAAGACAGGUGAUUCAAAAUAUGCAAAACAGUAGUGGUUAGCACUGUCGCCUCACAGCAAGAAGGUCGUGGGGUCAACUCCACCCAGGGAUUGACUCCAGCCCCCCAGCACCUGUACAAAGGAUGAGCGGCAUUGAAGAUGGAUGGAUACGUUUUAUGUAGGUUUUACUUUUUAAAAUUUCUCUUUGAUUUUGUCAGAACAUGAGGCUUAUUUUCAUUCCCGUUUUGUUAUAUAUAAUAUGUAUAUAAUAUAAUAUAAAACUGACAAAGGAUUCAAGGUCUGAUUAAACACUGAUAUUAAACAUAUUUACACCUUAAGCACUACUUUUUGUAUGGCAGCAUAUACAUUCUUGCGGUGCAGCUGGCUUAUGAGCAGAACCCACCUGGUGAAAUUGCCCUGUUAUCGCUAAACCGGUUGAGGAUGAAGCGACCACAUGCAUGAGCAGGCCGUGGAAGCCUACAGUGUCACAGCCCUCGUGGUCUCCCACUAGCCCUGUUAUAGAUCUUGCCAAGGCAACGGAUCGUGGCAGCUAGUGUUUAGCCUCAGUGCUAAUAGCCCGUUGUACGGAGCCUUGGGAAAUUAGCUGCUCACUGAAGCAUACUCCAGGAAGCCUGGUGAGCCACGGUCACAAGAAGAGCUGUCUCACAUAGGUCAGAAGAAUCAAUGUCCUUAUGGGACAGAGGGGCAGAGCCAGAGAGCAGUGAACUCUCACUAACCUCAGAUAGUGGCUGUUGUGUUAUAGCACCAGUGCAAUGAUGGAGAGAAGGUGAGAAUUGACAUGGGAAGAGGUUAGCCUCCUCUCAGAAGAGCAAGGAGGAUGGCUUGGCUGCAGGACGUCUGAGAUUCUGCAACAAUGUUACAAUAUGCUGUCAUAUUGCAAAAAUACAUGUAAACAAGCACAAAGAUUUUUCAAAUUAAAAUGUGUAUUUACGCUACUCGAGAAAUUAAUAAUAUCAGGAAGCGGCAUCCCUUUUCUCAUUUUAGGUUUCUUUGAUCUGAAUACAGGUCCGUAGUGGCAAAGGUCACACAUUUUAAAUUGGUGUUGGAGUAGUAAAAAAGUAAAGAGUAUUUUAAAGAAUUAUUUCUGAAGAACUUUCAGGGAUAGGUCGCACUAAAUGGAGACCCAGAAAAUGUUUUACUUGUGAUUUUCAAAACUUAACGUAUUCCUCUUUGGAUGUGCUUUUGAUUUUUGUUGUUGUACACUCAUGAUUGAAUGCAUUUAUUCUAAAAGAUAAAAGAGGAAUCCAUGGCAUGCAGUUUGAUUAGAACUAAGAGGCUGUGAGUUUCCCCCACAGGAUACCUAAAUAAGGCAUCCAAGCCAAGAAAGCCAGUGGGAACUGCUGCUGCUACCCACAGCAUGAUAAUAACACCAGGCGCAGGUUCACAGCAACCUUCAAGUCCUCAGGGGGUUCGCGGAAGUACUGCAGGGGGGGGUCGCAAAAUUUUUGGUUGAUAAGACAAUUUUUUUUUCUCCACAAAUUUAAAUGUCUUCAGAAUCAGAAUUAGAAUUGUAUUUAUUGUCUUUAAAUGAAGCUUAGGCGAAAAUUCAAUCAGGAAGACUGGACAGGCUGUGCCGUUCCCUGGUGGCCUCCUCUCUCCCUGGGGGCGCACGGCCAGCUGAUUAGGGGCGGGGUCGGGUAGUAUCAGACGUGGGUGUCGUUACCGUAAACCAUUCGCAUUGGGGCAGGCAAACGUUAAAAACUGUUCUCUCUUGUGCUGUCAGUUGUCAUUUCAGCACGCUCCAAAGGUGAACCGCCACCACCCCUGACACCUCCAAUCUACAGCAGAACCUGGCAUAGCAGGAGAGUUAUGCAACUUGGGCUCUACCACCACCACCACCAGUGUCUGAACUCCCAAGGGGGGAUAUGCCUCAUCUCGGCUCGAGAUCCCGGCCCCGGGUCUAUCCAGCGGCAGGAUGGAGUCCAAGCCCCAAACAACUUGUAAAAUCAUAUUAUACCUGUUAUAACAAAGCAUUGUUAAAAUUUCAACAAGUCUCUCCGGAUUGAAAUACACAUUAACAUGAAUCCAACAGUUCAAGUCUAAAUUCUCCUGAAAUCUAGUUUAGGAAAAAAAGAAAUAUAUAGAAUUGACAGUGGAUGCUGCACACAUUUUUGCCAAUAUCAUUUUAUCUUUGCAUUGCAGUUGACAAGUUGUCCUCAGCCAAUAGCUGACAAAUGUGCUGAAUAAAUGGCCAACAGUCAGCUGAGUUUUCCCAGCAGAGUGUUGGUGAGCGAUUUGUCCCAAAGCAGGUGACCUUGGUCUCGGUCACCCGAGGAAACACUCCGAGACCGACUCCACUCAGCCAGAAAGCACCCAGGAGGUGACAGGAACGCAGACACAUCAGUGGGACUGCAUCUCCCAUGGAGCAGUAGGGUUAGAGAUCACAGCUGCAGACAUGGAAUGAGGGAGUGUUUACAGUUUGGGGAAGGCGCCAAUAGACAAAUGAUGGUGUCAGAAGGGUAGGAUGUUCUCGUCUCAGUGAUGAAAAGAGACAGGAAGUGGACUCCACUUGAAGCAAAAGGCACACUUGAAAGGAUUAGACUUUAAACAUAGUAUUUCACACACAAGACUACUCAAAGAGAAAAACACACAUUCAACCAACUCAGCAUUAUUGGGCUUGAGCAUCCGCCUUUGCACGGGCAUUUACUUGUCAUUUGAACAUGCAUUUUGCUGGAAUCUGCACAUCAUAAUUAGCAAAGCAAUCUCCUGCUCCCAGUAAAUGUGCUAAUUGCAUGAGGAGCUGCAGGGUGGGCGCAUUGGCUCAAAAGCCUUCCUGCUGUAUCUCAGCCAUGACCACUGGGAUUUCCCAUUUCAGAAGGACACUGUGGGAAAGGCUACUGUGUGAAGAAAGUGGAGCGUGCUUAGCUUUAUACAUACACUGGCAGUCUUGGUUUGACAUUGGCUCCGUACUUGUAAGGCUGCCUGUCAUGGUUCUGCUGUGACUCCAGUCCUUUUCUUGUCUUUCCCUGUAUGAGGGUGUGGCCAAGACACCUGGGCUCAUCUCCCCCUGCCUACAAUCAGACCAUCAACCUCAAACAGUUCAAAUACGGCGGCGUCCUUCCAGUUCAUUGCAAGAUUGUUUUGUCCAUGGGGUAGUCUGAAUCUUGGCUGCUCUGUAUCUUAUUUCGACUUGAGUAUUUUCUUGUACCUUCCAUUUUUUUCAUACCUGCGAUUAGCGGUUUUCCCUGUGACUACAUUGCAGCCCAGGCACAACAACUCACACAGCCUCACUUCACUACCAGCUUUUCCUCUACAAGUCACAAGCCUGUUACUCACAGCCGACUCCCCUUGCCAACCAUUACCAAUUAAUUACCCACUCCUUCACCUACUCGGUGGUCUCUGUGUCAGCUCUUGGGUACAGUAUAGCCAGCCGUUACACUGCCUUCACCUUGCAAGGAAAUACCUGUCUGUCAUUCUAGUUCUGAAGAACAUAAAAGUGUGGUUUAGAGAACGCCUCAAUGUUUUUCCGGACAUGCCAACAUCAGCGAUUGGAUAAACUGUACAGCACUUGGCACAGCAGCAUAAGUAAGUUUCCCCUCGUUGUCUUAGCGAGCUUUUUCAGUGUGAUGGAAAGCUGAAGGGAACUGAGGAGCAGUUACUAACAGACACAAUGGGAGGAUUCUCACCUUUUUAAGAUACAUUUUCUUUCUACACAUAUUUUAUGUGUCCAACUUUCUGAAAUGAAUAUGAAUAUUGUCUAAGAGAGAAAAAUGUGUGUGUGUGUGUGUGUAUAUAUAUAUAUAUAUAUAUAUAUAUAUAUAUAUAUAUAUAUAUAUAUAUAUAUAUAUAUAUAUACAUUGUUUUUCUGUUAUUAUCAACGGGUAAGCUACCAAUACCCAACAUAAAGACGAAAGUAACAACUGUGCCAAAUUUCGAGACAACAGGCCAGAACGCCCAGAUAUCUGGAUGGUUUGUCAAAUCUGAUCCAGGAACCAGGUCAAAGAUGCUAUAUAGAUAUAUCCUAAUCAGUAGUUGACCCAAGUUAUGACAGCAAAUAUUUUGCAUCUCACAGGUUAGAAUUGGCAGAAUUCAGCAUUCCUCAAUUCCCUUUCUUCAUUUGGAUGUCAUCAAAAACACUUCAAUGCCCGGCCGCACUGUGUUUGUGUUUGUCUGUGGAGGAGAAAGAAUUAAGGCAGCCCUUUUGUUGUAGCGACACCAAUGACAUUGCUCCGCUGCUGCUAUUCACUAUGGUAAUCACCGCCUUUGAUUCACUGACCCAAAUUGUGAUUAAUUGUUCUAUUUAUGUGUGAGAUCAAAUACAGAACUACCAGGCAUUUUCUCAUGAGUGCAUGGGGGGGAAAUACCUACAGUUAAGUAACUGUGUGUCUUUGUGUGUCUUUUCUCCCCCAUCUGGCCUUUGAAGGAUGACACUGCUGUUUCUGUGUUCUGACAUGGCCCGUCCCUUCACAUCAGGCCUCUGUGAUGGAGACUGUCAGCACGGCACGCUCGCAUUUGUCCCUGACUCAUAAAUCCUCCCUACUCACAUGUGCGCUCACACACACACCUACACGCUCACAAAUCACCUCUGGCUCACCAACAACUCCUUUCACCCUCACCCACCCGCACACAGACACACGAGCACAAACACACACAUGUUGCCCGAACGGACCUGUCAAUCACAGCUUCUGAAAAAGUGACGCUCGCAUCUGCCACGGACAGACAGUCUGCACAGUCUACACCUCAGACGGACUUAUAAAUGGACACACACACACACACUUGCUGUACAAGCACAGCGUCAAGGUCAUCUACCAUGUCUGAACCUGCCUUUCAAAUCCUAAGAUUCUAUAUCAGGGAGCCAGGCCCGGACACUUUCUUCUUUCGAUAUGAUGGCUCAGUUGUGUGAGCUGUUUGAUCGAAGCAGUGUCCGCUCUUAUGUGGGUGAUAAAAGUACUUUUUAUUUCAUGACAUGUUUGAUAGUCAAAAUGUGUUUCCUCUUUCUCAGCAGCAUUGUCUAGGAGGAGUUGCGAUGUCAGAGCAGAUACACAUCUAUAGAGGUGAGUUUCACAGGUUUGGUUCAAAAGGGAUGGAACAAAUAUUUCAGGAGACAGCCUUGUUCUGGUUCAGGCUGGUCUCAUCUUGCAUUUGUAGCUAAAGCUACAACAAAUAAUGCCCUGUAGUUUGUAGAUGUAGUUUGUAUAAAGCCAAGACAGGGCGGGCAGAGUGGAGGUGGAAGGAUCCAACAAACGACAUUCUCUUAGCUUGGAGGUUUCUGUUUAUGAGUUUUCUUCCUCUGGAGACAGAAGUGGAAACUGACCCGUGUUGCUGGCUUUUUUGGGACAUUUUCAUUAAAUAUCACGACAACUGUUAUGGUAGGCCUACAGUUUGUGGUUUAUGUUAGUAGAUAUCAGCUGACUCUCCAUUUAGCUUGUAUGAAACAUGUAGACAGGGCUUCCAGCGGCAGGAAGUGUUGGCUCCCAGUGGGGACAAGCCAAGCAGUGAGCCAAAGCUCUGCUCCUGGCCAGAGGAGGAGCCACUGGUGCCGGGGGAUGAGCUCUACGCCGCCCUCUGGAGCUUCAGCUGCAGCUCAAAAGUGGCAGCAAACCCAAUCUGGGUGUGUCAGUCGUGCUCCCACUGGAGUCUGAGUUGAAGGAAUUUGUGGUGGACCUGCAUGAUUUGGUCUCAAUCAUCAGACCAGGUGAGACCAAUGCAAAAUAAUUCUAUUUAAUCUUUUUGCUUAUGUUCAAGCUAACUUAUGUUGAGGCUGCUUAAUAGCCAAUUAAAAAGACCAGUAAAAAAAUUGAUUGCAGAAAGUUGGACACAUAAAAAAAGCUUAUGUUUGGUAGCCAUAUAUUCUUUGUAGCCUGUUUUUCUUCAGACUUGGAGGCCUGGAAUUGCUGUAAAAAUGCAACAUGAUCGCAAUUGUUUCAAUGGUAACUUUUGAAUUUACACAUUAUGUUAUGC
ensembl:lncRNA